GAUGAACGCUGGCGGCGUGCCUAAUACAUGCAAGUCGAGCGAAUGGAUUAAGAGCCUGCUCUUAUGAAGUUAGCGGCGGACGGGUGAGUAACACGUGGGUAACCUGCCCAUAAGACUGGGAUAACUCCGGGAAACCGGGGCUAAUACCGGAUAACAUUUUGAACCGCAUGGUUCGAAAUUGAAAGGCGGCUUCGGAUGUCACUUAUGGAUGGACCCGCGUCGCCUUAGCUAGUUGGUGAGGUAACGGCUCACCAAGGCAACGCUGCGUAGCCGACCUGGGAGGGUGAUCGGCCACACUGGGACUGAGACACGGCCCAGACUCCUACGGGAGGCAGCAGUAGGGAAUCUUCCGCAAUGGACGAAAGUCUGACGGAGCAACGCCGCGUGAGUGAUGAAGGCUUUCGGGUCGUAAAACUCUGUUGUUAGGGAAGAACAAGUGCUAGUUGAAUAAGCUGGCACCUUGACGGUACCUAACCAGAAAGCCACGGCUAACUACGUGCCAGCCGCCGCCGUAA
rnacentral:rRNA from 1 species